AAUAUUGGACAAUGGGCGCAAGCCUGAUCCAGCCAUGCCGCGUGAGUGAUGAAGGCCUUAGGGUUGUAAAGCUCUUUUGUCCGGGACGAUAAUGACGGUACCGGAAGAAUAAGCCCCGGCUAACUUCGUGCCAGCAGCCGCGGUAAUACGAAGGGGGCUAGCGUUGCUCGGAAUCACUGGGCGUAAAGGGCGCGUAGGCGGCCGAUUAAGUCGGGGGUGAAAGCCUGUGGCUCAACCACAGAAUUGCCUUCGAUACUGGUUGGCUUGAGACCGGAAGAGGACAGCGGAACUGCGAGUGUAGAGGUGAAAUUCGUAGAUAUUCGCAAGAACACCAGUGGCGAAGGCGGCUGUCUGGUCCGGUUCUGACGCUGAGGCGCGAAAGCGUGGGGAGCAA
rnacentral:rRNA from 1 species